rnacentral:lncRNA from 1 species
GUUUUCUUAGUCGAUCAAUGUUACCCAUGUAGCGAGCUUUGGGUCAGUGACUCCCAAACCAAACGGUCUUAGGGCACUAGGUUUUAAAAUCCCCCGACGGACUUAAUAACUCGAGUAACAAAGGCCACAAAACGAGACUAGCCAAUCUACUUUUGCCCAUUUAUCUAAAGAUUUUAUCUAUAAAGAACAAUGGGUAUUGAAGUAGUUAUU